GAGUUUUGAUCGUGGCUCAGGACGAACGCUGGCGGCGUGCCUAAUACAUGCAAGUCGAGCGAGGGUUUUCGGACCCUAGCGGCGGACGGGUGAGUAACACGUAGGCAACCUGCCCUCUCAGACCCGGGAUAACAUAGGGAAACUUAUGCUAAUACCGGAUAGGUUUUUGGAUUGCAUGAUCCGAAAAGAAAAGAUGGCUUUUGGCUAUCACUGGGAGAUGGGCCUGCGGCGCAUUAGCUAGUUGGUGGGUAACGCCUA
rnacentral:rRNA from 1 species